CAGCAAUGUUGUGGCAAAAUGGCCUGGCUCAGUCCAUGACUCCAGAAUCUUUCGGGCCUCUGAAAUCUAUCAGUGCCUAUCACAAGGUGAAUUCUCUGGUGUGUUGCUGGGAGACAGGGGGUAUGGCUGCCAGCCUUUUCUCCUGACACCUUUCACAGACCCCCAGGAAGCACAGCAGGCCUACAACCAUGCCCAUGCCAGGACCAGGGCCAGAGUUGAAAUGACCUUUGGCCUCCUGAAGGCACGCUUUCACUGCCUUCACAAAUUAAGGGUCAGCCCUGUUAGGGCAUGUGAUAUUACUGUGGCUUGUGCUGUCCUCCACAAUGUGGCCUGCCUGAGGAAGGAGAGGGCCCCCAGAGUGCCACCAGCCAUGGACUGGGACAAUCCGGCAAUCUUCCCUGAUGACGACAGUGGUCGGCUGCUGAGGGACCAAUAUGUGUUGAAUUAUUUUAGUUAGUAUGUGUGCUUUCAAUUUUGGUUAAAUAUGUCCUGCGGUGGCAGAGGAAUUUGGUUUUUUUUGGGUUCGUUUUUUUACGAAUUUGGCCUCUUAUGAUGUUUGUGCGGUAUACUGUGUGUAAUACAAGGCUGCAGGGAGGCUACUGCAUCCAUUCAUUUGUCUGUUCAGUUGAUGUGUAUGGAUUUGUCCUGCAUUUAUUUUAGUGUGCAGACAUGCAGGGUGUGUUAUAUACAGACCUUUGAAUGUGUAUGUAUCAUUUUGUAUAAUAUGCUUGGAUUCUGUGCUUUCCAUCUUGUAGAGUCACUGUGACUUCAGUUUCGAAAGGAGCUGAUGGUUUACCUGCUUUGUUUUGUCCUUAUUCAAUAAAGGAACAUAAUGUUA